CGGGGCGUAGCGCAGUCUGGCUAGCGCAUUUGGUUUGGGACCAAAGGGUCGGAGGUUCAAAUCCUCUCGCCCCGA
rnacentral:tRNA from 1 species